rnacentral:lncRNA from 1 species
GCUUCUCGCUGGAGUGCGCACCGAGCGGCAGUGACUUCGCCGCUGCUGUAGUUCCCCGGCUGGAUGCGGUGACUGGUGCCAGUGCUCAGGCGCCCGCUGCCCUUGACCUCCCGCCCCGCGAGCCCUAACUCAGCGCAGGAGGACCGGCUGCCGCCGCCGCCGCCGCCAGGUAGACCAGGCCUGGCUGGGUUAGGCCAGAAGGGUGUCCCUGGCGCAGGUCUCCCGCGGAGGGCAGAACUAGAACCAGGUUCCCGGCCGUUUCCGACCACACGGAUGGGGCGGACCCAUGAGGUAGAUUGGGAAGUGGAGCUGGCCGUGGUCAUUGGAAAGAAAGGCAAGCACAUCAAGGUGAAGUGGAAAAGGUGGGCUCCCAGGCCAGAGUGCAGCAGAGUCCCCAGCUCCUGCCUCUCCUAGUUCUGACCUCGCUCACCAACACAUGGUGCCAGCUGUCCCUGACACUAGGAAGCAGUCAGCCUCCUUGCUCCCUGACACUGCCUUUCCCUUCACCCACCUUUGGCUGGCUCUGGCUACUAACAUGGGAUAACAGCUUUGAGAUCCCUUGCCACAGGUGUUGGUGUCACCCAUGAUCUAUCCUCCUGUAUGGCCAAAUCCCCUGCCCCCAUAGGCCACAGAUGCCAUGGCCCACGUGGCCGGCUUCACUGUGGCUCAUGACGUGAGUGCUCGUGACUGGCUAACAAGAUGCAAUGGGAAACAGUGGCUGCUGGGAAAAACCUUCGACACCUUCUGCCCUCUGGGCCCUGCCUUGGUGACCAAGGACAGUGUAGCAGAUCCACACAACUUAAAGAUCUGCUGUCGAGUGAAUGGGGAAGUGGUCCAGAGCAGCAACACCAACCAGAUGGUAUUCAAGACAGAGGACCUGAUAGCCUGGGUGUCCCAGUUUGUUACCUUUUACCCAGGGGAUGUCAUCCUGACUGGGACCCCCCCACCUCCACCCAGGUGUCGGUGUAUUCAGGAAACCUCCUGUCUUUCUCAAGGUCUCUGAAGGUCCAGACAGCACUGAUGGCGAGCUUUGGGUCCGCACACUCUGGAAAGAAGAGAGAAGUGAAGGCUCUAGGGGGCAGCAGCCACCAGCAAACACCACUGCCUGCAGGAGCCUGGGCUGACUGGUUGGGACUCACCGAAGAUCCCUUCUUCCUGGGCGGUGGCCUGCAGGAACUGGAACAGCUGCUCUGUGUAGCCCAACUCUGCAGAAGAGAGAAGACCUAGACCUGGCACCCAGCACAGACACAGCCUGCCUCGAGGACUGCAAGGGAACAAGGGCCUCACCAGUAUCGGGCAGCUGGCCCUGGCGGAGGAAGGCGGCAGCCUGUGCAAAGGCCUUGAGCAGCGGGCUGAGCAGGCGGCAGAGGAAAAGAAAGAAAUCUGGGCAGUGUGACUGCUGGCUGAGCUGGAGGGGACAGGCCGGGGUGAGUGCAGCUCCCCACCGCCUCCCUACCACCUCCCUCCAGGGGCAGCUUUUUGAAACACACCCUGAAGUACCGGCCGUCAGCCUCUCCGAAGUCAUCACUGUCACUAUCAGUAAAGUCCCCACUCGGUUUCCACA